UCCACUAACAAGGUUGUUUGGGGGAGCAUAUAGUCGAUAGUGGCUGAGAGAGCUUUCCACCCACUCCAUAACACCGACGGCUCCCCCUCCUAAAAUAAGAGUGUCUCAACUAAAGGUCGUGUACAACACGAGUACUACGAACUUGUUGCAGAAAGAAUGACUCAGGUUAUGUACAUGAUGCCAGAUAUAAAGCAGUAAUAUAUAAAGAAAAAAUGUAAACACAUAGCAAGUAGGAC
rnacentral:lncRNA from 1 species